UUUCAGAAAUAAGUGCCCUUGCGCACUGCGCAAUCAUUGCGCAGUGCGCAAGGGCACUUAUUUAAUUCAUUGCGCCGCAGUGAAUGUGUGCGCGGGCGUGUGUGUGUUCUUGAAUUCACCUGUUAUGUGAUAGUUCUAUGACCAGUAAAAUACCUCUCCUCCUUGCGUCCCCUCUGAUUGGGUUGCCUGUCCGCACGAGUGCUUGCUACGACAUGGUGUUUUUUUUUUUUUUACUGGAUUCCACGCCGAUGAGGAACUCGAAGUAGCACCUGAGUAUUACUGGCAUAGCGAGAUGUGAAGGAGAUGGACGCUGUGAAAACAAGAUUGAGACGAGUUUUGCUGGUGGAUGGACCCUGCUGUUUUUUCUUUCCCGGACUUCGUUGCUGCAUGCGGACUGCAUUGUGGACUGUGACUGCCCUCGGCCUCUGUGGUCGCCAUUAACUAUCCUCUGCUAUCCCUUUUUGUCCCUCAUUUGGAUUUGUGAGUACAUUACUGACUUUGCACGUGCUUCUUAGUUUAUGCUCUUGAGUGAAGUGACCAAAAAGUUUUAGGUCUCACCGCACCCGAGCUUCGGCACAGGCCUGCAACCUGAGUUUGGGGUUAUUUGGAGUGUGUGUGUGUGUGUGUGGGCCCACAGGUGAAUUUUGAGUUUAUUGAAGUUAAAGGAAAUUGAGACCAGGGACAUCUUAUUUUAGUUUUGGUUUGUAGGGUAUAAAACCAGAGUUCCUAGAACCUGACGUACGGAACACCAUUUAAAGAGACCCUGUACUUUAUUUUAUUUUUGUGUUUGAAAAAAUUCUUAUUUACUUUUUUAUAACAGCUUUCAUUUUGUCUUUUUGUAAAUAAAUACCUGUAAAGGUUUUGGUUUUUCUAAAA